GGCCCCGGGAAGAUGACCCGGUUGAUAGGCUACAGGUGUAAGUGUGGUAACACAUUCAGCCAAGUAGUACUAAUAGGCCGUGAGACUUGACCAU
rnacentral:rRNA from 1 species